rnacentral:rRNA from 1 species
UACCCCCGAUCAAGCAAGAAGACCCGCUGAAUUUAAGCAUAUACUAAGCGGAGGAAUGGCCCC